UGGACAUUGGGAACUCAGUUUUCUUAUCAACAAACUUCCUCAUCUUCAAAAUGGAUGAGAAUAGCACUGCCUCAUAGGAGCAGCACCCAUGUUUUAGACCU